UGGAAGGAAGCAUUGUGACCUCAUUCCUGUUCACACCUGCUGCCCUGAAAUUCUACCUUCGGCUUCAAGAGAUGGUCUACUUCCGCCCUUCUGUUAUAACACUAAUGUGUUCAACUUCCUAAAACCUGUAGAGCCAUGAUGGAGUUCUGGAGGAAAUGUUCCACUGAGGAGAGCCACAAGGAGGAGAAGCAGAACACGGAUAAGAGAACCCAAGGUGCAUCUUCUACAGGGAACAUUAUAUUGCAUGCACCUGCCCUACCUGAAGAGGGCUAGAACGUGAGGCUGUGGGACAGCAGGGGCAGGACAGCCACCGGGCCCUGCAAGGCUGUAUAAGGCAGUCGUCCCAGGCAGAGGUGAGCCGGCACCAGAGCACAGAGCCUUCUGAUUCCAAAGCCAGUACUUUCUCCACCAGCCAUUCUGUACCAUUACUGGUAACCCCAGUCCUUGUGCUGGAGGCCCCCAAAUUCCAACAUGCCUCCUACAAAUAGACCCAACAUAAUCACAGGGUCCUUAAGUGAAAGAGGGAGGCAGAGGAGGGAGAACCAGACCCCUGGCACCUGAGAACCUAGCCUGCCAUUGCUGGCUUUGAAGAUGAAGGACGGGAGCAACAAGUCAAGAAAUGCGAGUGGUUUCUAGAAGCUGGAAAAGGCAAGGAGGUGAAUCCUCCCUUAAAAUCUCCAUAAGGAACUCUGCCCUGCUGACACCUUGAUUUUAGCCCAGCGACACCCAUUUUGGACUUUGGGCCUCCAGAACUGGGAGACAAAAAUUGUGUGUUGGUUGAAGCCAUUGUGUUUGUGGAUACGUAGAAAACCCUGUCAGAAACUUUGUUUCUCAACCUCCGUACUAUUGACACUUGGGACUGGAAAAUUCUGUUGUGGGAGCAGUCCUGUGAACUGUAGGAUAUUUAGUAGGAUUCCUAGCCUCUACCCGCAAGAUGCUAAUAGAGACCCUUGCCAAAGUUGUAACAACCAAGAAAGUCUCCAGACAUUGCCCUGAGUGGGACAGAAGGGGGAAAAUCACCCCUGGCCCAGAAGAGCUGUUCUGAACCCUCCAUGGUUAUUCAUUCCAAUACACACUUUGUCCUCAGACACAUUGGAUUCUGUUCACUGACCUUUUCUAUAUGGAUGCUUCUGGAUGAGGCCUUUGAUGCCAGCUGAAAAGUAAGUGCCUAGGGAGAUUCCACACAAAGCCGUCAUCAGUCUCUGACACCUCAGAAUGAGUUUCCAUUAUUUCAAGCAAGCUGAAUUGAUGGGGAGAGAAAAAGGGAUCUGAAUGUGCUAUUAAGUAAAGAGGACACAGAACUAACAUCCAGAUGGAUAAAAGACAGACUGCCCACCCCAUGCAAUACUCUUUAUCAUUCGAGCUGGACAAGAACAUGCACUUGAGUAAGAUGUAAUUUCUGCUCUUAGGACCUCACUGUCUCAUAAGAGAAACUUGUGUGCAAUUUUUUUAAAAACCCUCAAUAGAAACCAAAAGGACUAUAAACACACUAUGGUCAUGUAUUCUGAAUCAGGUAUCCAUGCCCUGGGCACAAGCUUCAAGAACGCAUAACAGUAGGACCAAAUAUUUUAAAUCAACACUACCUCAGAAUAUGGGGCCAUGCCACCUGUAAAAGGCAUAUGCAAAUUGCCACCAGAAGUUUCCAGGGCAGAGACCUAGGUAUGGGCAAGAGGAGGAGGGAACCACAACCCACGUAAGAGAAACGUGUGCACAAAGAUGAAGGAUAGGAAAGCAUAUGGCACACUAUUUGGAAUUAACCAGCAAUUCCAGAUAGAUGUAGCUGUUUGAAGAUAAUUCCAAAUAUACAUUAUUAAACUUCAAAGAAUAAAUAAAACAGAAAUGAUUUUUAUCAUUUCUGGGUUAGGCGUCUGGCUCUUGAGUUCAGCUCAGGUCAUGAUCUCACAGUUCAUGGGAUUGAGCCCUGCAUAAGGCUCAGCGCUGACAGUGUGGAGCCUCCUUGGGAUUCUCUCUCACUCU